ensembl:lncRNA
UCCGGUGUUAUGGUCCUGACCCCUAUUAGCCAACACCCUUACCAUGCUGCCAUUUUCACCUUGAUAGUGCCAUGGAGUCGAGUGUGCACCCUGCAACAGAGCUUUUCUCCUUGAUGGAAGAUAAAGUUGCUCUCGGCCAACCGAAGACCCCAAACAUUGUUGUAGAGAAUGAUGCUCACUAUCUCACUGCAAGUAUUGGAAUUUAAAACAAGUCUCCUGGAGGCAGUUGAAGAGUUGCAUAUUCACAGGUUAUGGGGUCUUUCUUUUACUUUUACCCUUUCUGAUGAUAUAUAAUGUGUAAAAAAUGAUGAAACCUGAGAAAACAAAGCAAGAGAUAUAAGCCUGGAGGCAACAAUGAUGUUUAUUGCAUUGUUGUUUAUUUAAGUUGUUUGUUGUUGCAUUACAAUUAAUGCCCUGCCAGACUCAGCAUAAUGACGAUUAUUUUAAUUGAUUAGCUGAUCGAAUGAGAUAAAGACAAAAAUAACAAAACCUCUGUCACCUUUCCCAUCCUGUAUUUAUUUAAUGAAACAAUAACUAUGACAGAAAACAAUGAAGUUAUUUAUUUUAAAUAAUAUUUGAAAUGACUAAAUUAAUCUAACUACACUAGGUUACAGUAAGAAAG